AAGAUUAAGCCAUGCAUGUCUGAGUUCGCACCCCUCACGCACGGGCAAACCGCGAAUGGCUCAUUAAAUCAGUCCGGGUUCCUUAGGCGACACGGCCCCUCGCGGGGCGUCACGGAUAACUGUGGCAAAUCCAGAGCUAAUACGUGCGACUCGAGCCCCGACCCGCCCUCGCGGCGGGGAAGGGCGCUUUUAUUAGUACAAGGCCGGUGUCCGCAGUGCCUCGGGGGUGACUCUGGGGGUUAACGCUGCGGGCUCUAGCGAGGUGAACUCUGGAUAACAGGCCCGACCGCUCCGUCCCUAGUCGGACGGCGGCGCGCCUUUCAAGCGUCUGCCCUAUCAAAUGUCGACGGUAGGUCACACGCCAACCGUGUUGACGACGGGUAACGGGGAAUCGGGGUUCGGUUCCGGAGAGGGAGCACGAGAAACGGCUACCACAUCCAAGGAAGGCAGCAGGCGCGCAACUUACCCACUCCCGGCUCGGGGAGGUAGUGACGAGAAAUAACGAUGCGGGUCUCGAGUCGGGCCCCGCGGUCGGAAUGAGCGCAGUCCAAACCCCUGACGGCGACGACCCAUCGGAGGGCAAGCCUGGUGCCAGCAGCCGCGGUAAUUCCAGCUCCGAUAGCGUAUAUUAAAGCUGCUGCAGUUAAAAAGCUCGUAGUUGGAUCGCGGGGCGGACGCCCCCGGAUAACCGCGCAUGGAAUGAUGGAACAGGACCGCCGUCCCGUUCGUCCGGUCUCAGGGACGGAGGUAAUGAUUGAAAGGGACGGCCGGGGGCGUUCGUACCGCGGCGGCAGAGGUGAAAUUCGAUAAUCGUCGCGAGACGGCCGAGAGCGAAAGCAUUUCUCAGAAGCGCUUUCUUUAAUCAAGAACGAAAGUCGGAGGCUCGAAGACGAUCAGAUACCGUGGUAGUUCCGACUGUAAACGAUGCCGACCGGCGAUCCGCGGAGGUCUUCGAUUGGGACCGCGCGGGCGGCCCCCGGGAAACCAGAGUCUCUGGGUUCCGGGGGGAGUAUGGUCGCAAAGCUGAAACUUAAAGGAAUUGACGGAAGGGCACCACCAGGAGUGGGGUCUGCGGCUUAAUUUGACUCAACACGGGAAAACUCACCCGGUCCGGACACCGCCAGGAUUGACAGACCGAGGCUCUUUCUUGAUUCGGUGGGUGGUGGUGCAUGGCCGUUCUUAGUUGGUGGAGCGAUCUGUCUGGUUAAUUCCGAUAACGAACGAGACUCCGGCCUGCUAGUUAGCGCGGCGGCGUCCGGUGACCUUAGGUUUCCGUCUCUCCCGCGGGUACACUCGUGUGCUCGUGAGGGAGGCGGUGCCGGUCACCCGCCGUCGCGACCCCGAGGCUUCUUAGAGGGACGGGCGGUGGCCAGCCGCACGAGAAGGAGCGAUAACAGGUCUGUGAUGCCCUUAGACGUCCGGGGCCGCACGCGUGCUACACUGGGGGAGUCAGCGCGAUCUCAACCCGGCCCGAAGGGCGUCGGGAAAGCCGCUGAGUCUCCCCCGUGCUCGGGACCGGGGCUUGGCCAUUGUGCCCCGCCAACGAGGAAUUCCCCGUAGGCGCGGGUCAUAACCCCGCGCCGAUUACGUCCCUGCCCUUUGUACACACCGCCCGUCGCUACCAUCGGUGAACGGUCUAGCGAGGGCCUCGGACCGGCGCGGAGUCCUCCCUUUACCGGGUCGGGACUCUUAUGCGCCGGGAAGACGCCCGAACUCGGUCGCUCGGAGAUAGUAAAAGU
rnacentral:rRNA from 1 species